AGGGCACCACCAGGAGUGGAGCCUGCGGCUUAAUUUGACUCAACACGGGAAAACUCACCCGGCCCGGACACUGGAAGGAUUGACAGAUUGAGAGCUCUUUCUUGAUUCAGUGGGUGGUGGUGCAUGGCCGUUCUUAGUUGGUGGAGUGAUUUGUCUGGUUAAUUCCGAUAACGAACGAGACUCUAGCCUAUUAAAUAGAUCGUUGGCCUACAAACGCCGGCGAGACUUCUUAGAGGGACAGGCGGCGAUUCAGCCGCACGAAACAGAGCAAUAACAGGUCUGCGAUGCCCUUAGAUGUCCGGGGCCGCACGCGCGCUACACUGAAGUGAUCAGCGUGCAUUUUGAAACCUACUCUGUCAAGAGUGGGGAACCCAAUGAACCUUCUUCGUGAUUGGGAUAGGGGAUUGUAAUUAUUCCCCUUGAACGAGGAAUUCCCAGUAAGCGCGAAUCAUAAGUUUGCGCUGAUUACGUCCCUGCCCUUUGUACACACCGCCCGUCGCUACUACCGAUUGAAUGUUU
rnacentral:rRNA from 1 species